UGAACUUACCUAUUAUCCUCCGGCGGAACGCCCCGGUGCCUUCGGGGCCGGGUCAGGCGCCCGCCGGGGACCAAACAAACUGUAUUUGUCUCCUGUAUACCUCAGAAUUAGGCGUAAAGCCGAAAUGUAACAACUUUUGACAAUGGAUCUCUUGGCACUGGCAUCGAUGAAGAACGCAGCGAAAUGCGAUAAGUAAUGUGAAUUGCAGAGCACAGUGAAUCAUCGAAUCUUUGAACGCACAUGGCGCCCGCUGGUAAUCCGGCGGGCAUGCCUGUCCGAGCGUCAUUUCAACCCUCAGAACCCCUCUCUCGGGAGGGCGUUACUGGUGUUGGGGAUCGAGCGCCCCCCGCGGCGCCCGUCCCUUAAAUCUAUUGGCGGCUCCGGAGUCUGUCUCCCCUGCGUAGUAUUGCAUCUCGCUUUGGUGACGUCCCCGGGCUGCUGUGGCUCUGCCACGAAACCCCCACUAGGUUGACCUCGGAUCAGGUAGGGAUACCCGCUGAACUUAAGCAUAUCAAUAAGCGGAAGAA
rnacentral:rRNA from 1 species